CACGUAGGGUGCGAGCGUUGUCCGGAAUUAUUGGGCGUAAAGAGCUCGUAGGCGGUGUGUCGCGUCGGCCGUGAAAACCUGCAGCUUAACUGUGGGCUUGCGGUCGAUACGGGCAUCACUGGAGUUCGGCAGGGGAGACUGGAAUUCCUGGUGUAGCGGUGAAAUGCGCAGAUAUCAGGAGGAACACCGGGGGCGAAGGCGGGUCUCUGGGCCGAUACUGACGCUGAGGAGCGAAAGCGUGGGGAGCAAACAGG
rnacentral:rRNA from 1 species